AAGGAAAACCAGAUACCUGUAAUGAACCCAGAAUUACUGGCCGGUUCAAAAUGAAUCGCCGUUCACCUGCUGGUCCAGCUUGUCUUCUCAUUUAAUUCAACCGUCUUCCGGUUCUCUCGCGAGACAACCGGGAGUUCCGGUUUUAUUUAUUACCCCUUUACUAGAGCCGGUCCACUUCAUCACUUAACCGGAUGACCCGGUAAACGCCGAACUAAUUAUGGUUAAAACCAAACCGGCUAUUCCCUGAAGCCCUAACCGGUCGGUCCGGUCAAGAUAUCGUUCGGUUUACAAUCCAGAUCAACCUCCUCAACUCGGUUCCACUAGCGAUUCUCUUACCAAGAACACGCAAAAGCAAGGACAAGUAAGUUCUGUCUUCUGUUACCCUUUCUCUGUUUUUCUUUCUUUGUUACAUGUAUUUAAUUCUUUAUGUUUUGAUGUUAGAAUCUUUGGAUUAAGGAAAACAAAAGGGAAAGUUGUUCUUGUUAUAAAUUCUUGAUCCUUAUAGCCAGGAUAAAGUUUCAGUGAUUAUUUUGGUUAGAGUCUUUGGAUUGAGGUUUGCUUUGGAUGGAUUCUAAUUUGGAACCAGUCCCGAUAACAUCACAAAAACAUGACCCGGCAUGGAAGCAUUGCCAAAUGUUCAAGAAUGGGGAAAGAGUGCAGCUCAAGUGUGUGUAUUGUAACAAGUUUUUUAAGGGGGGAGGGAUUCAUAGGAUUAAGGAGCAUUUAGCCGGUCAAAAGGGUAAUGCAUCUACUUGUUUACGAGUUCCUCCUGAUGUUAGGCUUAUGAUGCAACAGAGUUUGGAUGGAGUUGUAGUUAAAAAGAGAAAGAAGCAAAAGAUUGCAGAGGAGAUUUCGAAUUUGAACCAAGUUGGUAAUGAGAUAGAGGUUUUUGGUAAUGAUCAGAUUGAAGUUAAUAACGGUAUGGACUUGAUCGAACUUUCAAAUGUGAUAGAGCCUGGUCCAAGUUUAUUAGUUGGUCGAGAAGAAGGAGGGAUUAGUAAGAGUGGGGAGAGGAGAAAGAAGGGAAGAAGUAAAGGUUCCGCUGCAAAUAUAAAUGCCAUUGUUACUAUGAAUAAUAGGAUGGCAUUAGGUAGUAAAAGAGUGAAUGAUCAUGUUCAUAUGGCAAUAGGAAGGUUUUUAUAUGAUAUUGGGGCACCUUUGGAUGCUGUGAACUCGGUUUAUUUCCAGCCAAUGGUUGAUGCUAUUGCUUCGGGAGGAUCAGAGGUUGAGAUGCCUUCGUAUCAUGACCUUCGUGGUCAGAUAUUGAAGAAUACAGUUGAAGAAGUGAAGACUGAUGUUGAUAAGCACAUGGCAACUUGGGCAAGGACUGGUUGUUCUGUUUUGGUGGAUCAAUGGAACACAUUAAUGGGUAGAACUCUGCUAAGUUUUUUGGUUUACUCUUCUGAAGGAGUGGUGUUUUUGAAAUCUGUCGAUGCAUCUGAUUUUAUAAAUUCGUCUGAUGCCCUAUAUGAAUUGCUUAAACAAGUGGUGCUAGAAGUUGGAGCUAGACAUGUUUUGCAAGUGAUAACUAAUAUGGAAGAGCAAUAUAUUGUUGCAGGUAGAAGGUUGUCUGAUUCUUUUCCUACUUUAUAUUGGGCUCCUUGUGCAGCUCAUUGUCUAGAUUUGAUCCUCAAAGAUUUUGCAAAAAUUGGAUGGAUAAAUACAGUAAUUGAACAAGCUAGGUCUAUAACAAGAUUUGUAUACAAUUACAGUGUGGUAUUGAAUAUGGUGAGAAAGUAUACUGCUGGCAAUGAUAUUGUAGAACCAGGUCUCACUCGUUUUGCUACAAACUUUGCGACAUUGAAACGAAUGGUUGAUCUUAAGCAUACUUUGCAGGCCAUGGUUACUUCACAGGAGUGGAUGGAUUGUCCAUAUGCAAAGAAACCAGGGGGACUAGAGAUGUUAGAUUUAUUAAGUAAUCAAUCAUUUUGGUCCAACUGUGUCCUGAUAACCGAUCUAACAAAUCCGCUCUUGAGACUUUUGAGAAUAGUUAGUGGCAAUAAGAGGCCUGCAAUGGGGUAUGUUUAUGCAGGAAUAUACCGAGCAAAAGAAGCAAUUAAGAAGGAACUUGUAAAGAGGAAUGAUUAUAUGGUGUACUGGAAUAUUAUAGAUCAUUGGUGGGAACAACAAAAUAAUCUCCCUCUUCAUGCUGCUGGUUUCUUCCUUAAUCCCAAGUUCUUUUAUAGUAUUGAAGGAGAUGUCCACAAUGAGAUUCUGUCUCAGAUGUUUGAUUGCAUAGAAAAACUGGUUCCUGAUGUUAGUGUUCAAGAUAAAAUCACCAAAGAGAUAAACUCUUACAAGAAUGCUGCUGGAGAUUUUGGAAGGAAGAUGGCAGUUAGAGCUAGAGACACUCUGCUUCCUGGGUUGGUAAGAAUGAAGAACAAGACACCAUUGAUCCCAUAUCAUUUGAUAGCGUUAGUGCUUUGGAGGACUGGGUCAGGGAAAAAGACAUGAGCUCAGAAGACUAUGAAAACACAGAUUGGAUGGCACUUGAUCCACCUGCUGCUAACACAAGGUUCCUAGGACAUUCAUAUGAUGAAGUUGAAGAGUUGAGUGUAGGGUUUGAAGAUCAUGAUAUUUUCAAUAGAAUGAAAGACUCUGAGGAAAACAACGUGGAAGACAAUCAGUAGAACAGCUUAGAAGUACACAUUUUGUUUGGAGUAUUUACAUGGAUGACUGGUUGCUUUUGCACUAUAAUCCAUUGUAGUAGUGAUUUAUGAUUAACAUUAGAGACAAUUAUCAGAUGUAAAUGGAUUAGGAUUCCUGUAACUGUAGACAGCAUCACUAGGAAGACUAAACUAGAUUAUGGUGAACAAGAUUUGAUAAUAACAACUGUUGUUCAGCGUC